UCGAACGGUAGCAGGAAGAAAGCUUGCUUUCUUUGCUGACGAGUGGCGGACGGGUGAGUAAUGCUUGGGAAUCUGGCUUAUGGAGGGGGAUAACUGUGGGAAACUGCAGCUAAUACCGCGUAAUCUCUGAGGAGUAAAGGGUGGGACCUCUUGGCCACCUGCCAUAAGAUGAGCCCAAGUGGGAUUAGGUAGUUGGUGGGGUAAAGGCCUACCAAGCCUGCGAUCUCUAGCUGGUCUGAGAGGAUGACCAGCCACACUGGAACUGAGACACGGUCCAGACUCCUACGGGAGGCAGCAGUGGGGAAUAUUGCGCAAUGGGGGGAACCCUGACGCAGCCAUGCCGCGUGAAUGAAGAAGGCCUUCGGGUUGUAAAGUUCUUUCGGUAAUGAGGAAGGGAUGUUGUUAAAUAGAUGGCAUCAUUGACGUUAAUUACAGAAGAAGCACCGGCUAACUCCGUGCCAGCAGCCGCGGUAAUACGGAGGGUGCGAGCGUUAAUCGGAAUAACUGGGCGUAAAGGGCACGCAGGCGGACUUUUAAGUGAGAUGUGAAAUCCCCGAGCUUAACUUGGGAAUUGCAUUUCAGACUGGGAGUCUAGAGUACUUUAGGGAGGGGUAGAAUUCCACGUGUAGCGGUGAAAUGCGUAGAGAUGUGGAGGAAUACCGAAGGCGAAGGCAGCCCCUUGGGAAUGUACUGACGCUCAUGUGCGAAAGCGUGGGGAGCAAACAGGAUUAGAUUCCCUGGUAGUCCACGCUGUAAACGCUGUCGAUUU
rnacentral:rRNA from 1 species